rnacentral:rRNA from 1 species
CGCAAGCCUGACGGAGCAACGCCGCGUGAGGGAUGAAGGCCUCUGGGCUGUAAACCUCUUUUCUCAAGGAAGAAGAACUGACGGUACUUGAGGAAUAAGCCACGGCUAAUUCCGUGCCAGCAGCCGCGGUAAUACGGGAGUGGCAAGCGUUAUCCGGAAUUAUUGGGCGUAAAGCGUCCGCAGGCGGUCUUGAAAGUCUGUUGUUAAAGCGUGGAGCUCAACUCCAUUUCAGCAAUGGAAACUAGAAGACUAGAGUGUGGUAGGGGCAGAGGGAAUUCCCGGUGUAGCGGUGAAAUGCGUAGAUAUCGGGAAGAACACCAGUGGCGAAGGCGCUCUGCUGGGCCAUAACUGACGCUCAUGGACGAAAGCCAGGGGAGCGAAAGGGAUUAGAUACCCCCGUAGUCCUGGCCGUAAACGAUGAACACUAGGUGUCGGGGGAAUCGACCCCCUCGGUGUCGUAGCCAACGCGUUAAGUGUUCCGCCUGGGGAGUACGCACGCAAGUGUGAAACUCAAAGGAAUUGACGGGGGCCCGCACAAGCGGUGGAGUAUGUGGUUUAAUUCGAUGCAACGCGAAGAACCUUACCAGGGUUUGACAUCCUGCGAAUCUUUUGGAAACAGAAGAGUGCCUUCGGGAGCGCAGAGACAGGUGGUGCAUGGCUGUCGUCAGCUCGUGUCGUGAGAUGUUGGGUUAAGUCCCGCAACGAGCGCAACCCACGUCUUUAGUUGCCAGCAUUAAGUUGGGCACUCUAGAGAGACCGCCGGUGAUAAACCGGAGGAAGGUGUGGAUGACGUCAAGUCAUCAUGCCCCUUACAUCCUGGGCUACACACGUACUACAAUGCUACGGACAAAGGGCAGCAAACUCGCGAGAGCUAGCAAAUCCCAUAAACCGUGGCUCAGUUCAGAUCGUAGGCUGCAACUCGCCUACGUGAAGGAGGAAUCGCUAGUAAUCGCAGGUCAGCAUACUGCGGUGAAUACGUUCCCGGGCCUU